rnacentral:rRNA from 1 species
UACGUAGGUGGCAAGCGUUAUCCGGAAUUACUGGGCGUAAAGCGCACGCAGGCGGUCUUUUAAGUUUGACGUGAGAGCUCCCGGCUUAACUGGGAGAGGUCGUUGAAGACUGGAAGACUUGAGGCAAUGAGAGGGGUGUAGAAUUCCCGGUGUAGUGGUGGAAUGCGUAGAUAUCGGGGGGAAUACCAGUGGCGAAAGCGGCACCCUAGCGUUAGCCUGACGCUCAUGUGCGAAAGCGUGGGGAGCGAACGGG